rnacentral:rRNA from 1 species
AGCAGCCGCGGUAAUUCCAGCUCCAAUAGCGUAUAUUAAAGUUGUUGCAGUUAAAAAGCUCGUAGUUGAAUUUCGGGGUUCUUCCGUUGGUCGGGCUAUCCAGUCUGUACUAGCGUGUAGAAUUCCUACCUUCUGGGGAACCAUCAUGUUAUUAAUUUAGCGUGGUGGGAAACCAGAACCUUUACCUUGAAAAAUUAGAGUGUUCAAAGCAGGCUUACGUCUGAAUACAUUAGCAUGGAAUAAUAGAAUAGGACGGUGGUCCUGUUUUGUUGGUUUCUGAAUCACCGUAAUGAUUAAUAGGGAUAGUUGGGGGCAUUAGUAUUCAAUUGUCAGAGGUGAAAGUCUUGGAUUUAUUGAAGACUAACUUCUGCGAAAGCAUUUGCCGAGGAUGUUUUCAUUAAUCAAGAACGAAAGUUAGGGGAUCGAAGACGAUCAGAUACCGUCGUAGUCUUAACCAUAAACUAUGCCGACUAGGGAUCGGACGAUGUUAAAUUUUAUUGACUCGUUCGGCGCCUUACGG